GAUGAACGCUAGCUACAGGCUUAACACAUGCAAGUCGCGGGGCAGCAUGGGGGUUGCUUGCAAUCCCCGAUGGCGACCGGCGCACGGGUGAGUAACGCGUAUCCAACCUGCCCUUCACCACGGGAUAACCCGGCGAAAGUCGGACUAAUACCGUAUGUUGUCCAUUGACGGCAUCCGAUUUGGACGAAAGGUUUGGCGGUGAAGGAUGGGGAUGCGUCCGAUUAGCUGGACGGCGGGGUGACGGCCCACCGUGGCGACGAUCGGUAGGGGUUCUGAGAGGAAGGUCCCCCACACUGGAACUGAGACACGGUCCAGACUCCUACGGGAGGCAGCAGUGAGGAAUAUUGGUCAAUGGGCGUAAGCCUGACCAGCCAAGUAGCGUGCAGGAUGACGGCCCUAUGGGUUGUAAACUGCUUUUAUGCGGGGAUAAAGUGGCCCACGGGUGGGUUUUUGCAGGUACCGCAUGAAUAAGGACCGGCUAAUUCCGUG
rnacentral:rRNA from 1 species